UCAGGAUGAACGCUGGCGGCAGGCUUAAUACAUGCAAGUCGAACGGUAACGACCGGUAGCAAUACUGGGGCGACGAGUGGCGCACGGGUGCGUAACGCGUAUGCAACCUACCCUCAACCGGGGCAUAACGCCGAGAAAUUGGCGCUAAUAUCCCAUGUGUAUGUGAGACGGCAUCGUCUUAUAUAUAAAGAUCCGUUGGUUAAGGAUGGGCAUGCGUAACAUUAGCUAGUUGCGGGGUAACGGCCCACCAAGGCGACGAUGUUUAGGGGUUCUGAGAGGAUUCACCCCCACACUGGAACUGAGACACGGUCCAGACUCCUACGGGAGGCAGCAGUAGGGAAUAUUGGGCAAUGGAGGCAACUCUGACCCAGCCAUGCCCGCGUGAAGGAAGACGGCCCUAUGGGUUGUAAACUUCUUUUGCCGCAGAGUAACCCGGGGACGCGUCCCCGCUGAGAGUAUGCGGCGAAUAAGUAUCGGCUAACUCCGUGCCAGCCGCCGC
rnacentral:rRNA from 1 species